rnacentral:rRNA from 1 species
UACGUAGGGGGCAAGCGUUGUCCGGAUUUAUUGGGCGUAAAGAGCUCGUAGGCGGUUUGGUAAGUCUGGUGUGAAAUCUCCGGGCUCAACCCGGAGGGGCCACCCGAUACUGCUGUGACUCGAGUCCGGUAGGGGAGUGGGGAAUUCCUGGUGUAGCGGUGAAAUGCGCAGAUAUCAGGAGGAACACCGGUGGCGAAGGCGGCUCUCUGGGACGGUACUGACGCUGAGACGCGAAAGCGUGGGGAGCGAACAGG